rnacentral:rRNA from 1 species
UACGAAGGUCCCAAGCGUUAUCCGGAUUUAUUGGGUUUAAAGGGUGCGUAGGCGGGCUAUUAAGUCAGUGGUGAAAGCCUCAAGCUUAACUUGAGAAUUGCCAUUGAUACUGAUGACCUUGAGUACAUUUGAAGUGGGCGGAAUGUGUCAUGUAGCGGUUAAAUGCUUAGAUAUGACACAGAACACCGAUUGCGUAGGCAGCUCACUAAACUGUAACUGACGCUGAGGCACGAAAGCGUGGGGAGCAAACAGG